rnacentral:piRNA from 1 species
UNGCUCACAGGAUGUUCUCUGGAUGGUAGA